rnacentral:tRNA from 1 species
GGAGAGAUGGCCGAGCGGUUGAAGGCGCCAGACUCGAAAUCUGGUGUGCGCCCUGUGCGUACCGUGGGUUCGAAUCCCACUCUCUCCG